rnacentral:rRNA from 1 species
GACGAACGCUGGCGGCGUGCUUAACACAUGCAAGUCGAACGGAAAGGCCCUGCUUGCAGGGUACUCGAGUGGCGAACGGGUGAGUAACACGUGGGUGAUCUCCCUGCACUUCGGGAUUAGCCUGGGAAAAUGGGUCUAAUACCGGAUAGGAGCCAUUUUUAGUGUGAUGGUUGGAAAGUUUUUUCGGUGUAGGAUGAGCUCGCGGCCUAUCAGCUUGUUGGUGGGGUAAUGGCCUACCAAGGCGGCGACGGGUAGCCGGCCUGAGAGGGUGGACGGCCACAUUGGGACUGAGAUACGGCCCAGACUCCUACGGGAGGCAGCGGUGGGGAAUAUUGCACAAUGGGCGCAAGCCUGAUGCAGCGACGCCGCGUGGGGGAUGACGGCCUUCGGGUUGUAAACUCCUUUCGCUAGGGACGAAGCUUUUUGUGACGGUACCUAGAUAAGAAGCACCGGCUAACUACGUG